UGGACGAAAGUCUGAUGGAGCAACGCCGCGUGAGCGAAGAAGGCCUUCGGGUCGUAAAGCUCUGUUGUUAGGGAAGAACAAGUAUCGGAGUAACUGCCGGUACCUUGACGGUACCUAACCAGAAAGCCACGGCUAACUACGUGCCAGCAGCCGCGGUAAUACGUAGGUGGCAAGCGUUGUCCGGAAUUAUUGGGCGUAAAGCGCGCGCAGGCGGUCCUUUAAGUCUGAUGUGAAAGCCCACGGCUCAACCGUGGAGGGUCAUUGGAAACUGGGGGACUUGAGUGCAGAAGAGGAAAGCGGAAUUCCACGUGUAGCGGUGAAAUGCGUAGAGAUGUGGAGGAACACCAGUGGCGAAGGCGGCUUUCUGGUCUGUAACUGACGCUGAGGCGCGAAAGCGUGGGGAGCAAACAGGAUUAGAUACCCUGGUAGUCCACGCCGUAAACGAUGAGUGCUAAGUGUUAGGGGGUUUCCGCCCCUUAGUGCUGCAGCUAACGCAUUAAGCACUCCGCCUGGGGAGUAC
rnacentral:rRNA from 1 species